AGGGGAAUUCGGGGCAGAAGUCGGGCCGGAGCAUCCGGGCGGCCGUGGCGCGAUGGCGCAGGAUCGGCGCUUUGAGAACUGAGCGCAUGUGGAGUUCCGAGGAAAAGGGCGCAGAUUGAAGAUGGAAAAUCCCCAAGACAUUUUCUCAAGUAAUGGUGGCUGUCUAAGUGAUAUAGUUAUAGAAAAAUACCUGGUUGAAUCCAAGGAGUCUGUGUCUCAUGUUCAGCUUGCUUGCAGCAUGCAGGACUGUGCUUUCCCUUUGGAUGGAACUGAACUUUGUAUAUGGAACACUAAGGAUCCUUCUCGUCAGCUUCUAAUCCUACGAGGACACCAUCAGCCAAUUACUGCUAUGGCUUUUGGAAAUAAAGUGAACCCACUUCUAAUCUGCUCAGCAUCACUGGAUUAUGUUAUAAUGUGGAACCUGGAUGAAUGUAGAGAGAAAGUACUUCAAGGUAAAUGAAAAUCUAAAACAUGUUUUUAAAAACCUGCAAAAGGAAUAACUCAUCCUUCAGUAUACUUGGUACCACCCAAGGGGUGUUUCCCUUGGGUAACAGCAGUCCCUCGGGGGGUUUGGGAUAAUUUUGUACUCUCUUUACCUUGAACCCAGGCAUGCAAGCAGGCGCUUUAUAUGGGAAGGGCCCCAGGCCAUUCAGACUUACGGACCUUUGCUGUCUGUUAUGCUGAUCUUAUAGGCUCAUUGGUUUUGAUCUUAUGUCCCUUUUUAUUUUAAGAACUGUCCAUUUUGUAUCAACCUGAAAACAUGUAGGAAAGUGGAAAUAUUCUUUCCUUGCACAGCAAGGGGUCUUGAGCACCUGUAAUAUUUCAGGCUGGAGACACAGUGGUGAAUAGGAAGGGCUUGGUCCCAAAUCCUCUGGAAGUCACAGCUCAGAGUUUGAGAGAGACACUGUAAGCCAGCGACUGAGUGGCUGUGAAUUGUGAGUGUGCAGAGGAGAAGGCAGAUGAGGCCAGGGCAGCGUGCACGUGCAUGGGAGCACUUUGAGAAGCAGGAUCUCGGAGGGGCACGUGCGCUGAGGGUGAGGGUGAGAAGGGAUGAAUGUGCCAAGGCCCUGGGAAGAGUGAGAACCUGCCUGUGUGCUUGGAGCGUGCUGAUGUCAGGAGAGCCUCAUCUGAGGAAGUCGAAAAGUUAGGUGGGGACCACGUUAAGGAAUUUGAGUUUUGUGCAAUUAUAUAGAGAAGUUAGAGGAUUACAUUAAAACAUAAAUGCAAAGAGACUAUAAAUCUAUGUAUUCUAUGUAGGGACAUGAGUACGUGUCCCUCUCUAGACUGGGUGGCUGUGGGACAUGAACAUGUGUGUCUCUCUAGGCUCCGGGUGCCUGUGGGACAUGAGCACGUGUCUCUGUCUAGACUUGGUGGCUGUGGGACAUGAGCACAUGUGUCUCUCACAGGCUCUGGGUGGAGUAUAUCUGCAUUUUGCUGGUGAUAGGUCCAUGGUACACACUAGGACCAGAUGACCUUGCCCGCCAUUUUUUCCUUCACCUGUGUGGAUUUGCAUGACGGGCUCUGCAUCAGGCUGCAGCUGCUGCACAUGUUGUCCGGGUCUUGGGAACCUCCUGGCUGCUUGUGGGUGUCCUGACAUUGCUUAGUCCCUGGAGGCCUGGGUUGGAUAGGCCCCUACUCCUUUCCUUCCAAUCAAUGUUAGCUGAACCUAGACAUGAGGGUGGACAUGGGGUUGGAUGUGGGUGAGAAGCAUCGAAACAUGCAGUUUGAUGUGCAUGAUUCUCACUGCACGGGUACUGCAGCCUCCAGAGAAAGGCAUCUUCGUGUUUCGAUGCUGAGAGAGUCUCUGCAGGGAAGUGCUGCAUUCCCCAGGUUUUCAGAAGACUUCUGUAUAUCCAGUAUUUUUGAUAUUCUUAAAGAAUCAAAAUCACAUCAAAGCUCAUUGUCAUUCUCUCAGUAAUUUUAGAAUAGAGGGUUACAUUCUCAGUACUUUUCUCAGAUUAAUGUAAUGCUGAAUGCAUUUGGUAAACUGGCACUAAUGGUGAAACUCACUCUAGGGCUGGUCCCUCGAGGGACUGUCAUGGGCUCGCUUUUGGGAAAGGUGCUGUGUUUACAGUUGAGCCUGGAUGAUCGUGUUGUUGCCGUGUGUGCUGGAAACAAAAUAUUCAUGCUGGAUAUUGAGGUAAGAUUGAAAUUCACGUGGAUUUCACGGAAGGGUUUAGCUGAUGGGGCCUCCCAGGUUCUGGGACCUUGCCCAGCGGUCUUUUCUUUUCUUCUGUACGCCUUUUUUUUAAAGCUAUAUCUUCAAUUUAGUUUACUUUUAUAAAAUCACAUCUUUAUCUUGCAAUUGGAAAACCACUGGUAUCAGAUAGCAAUAUUUAUAUAAAUAUUAAAACUCUUUAUGGAAUCUGGGUGUCAGGUAUGACUUUAGAGAAACAUGUUCUGCAAAACUUUUAUUUCUCAGAUAUUCCCUGAUUGUAGGCAUCCUUCCUAGCAUAGCGCUUUUGUUUAUAUCUUUUAUCAAAAUGUUCUUUUCAUCAAGAAUCAGACUUUUCGCACCAGGGUUAGUUUAAGGAAAUGUGUCACCUCUUCCUGCCUGUGUGAUUUCGACCUCGUGUGUGACUAGAACAGUCAGCUGCCCCAUUGCAAUGUUAGAAAGCCUGAUUUUGUAGGUGACCCCAGGCCUGGGGUCGUUUUGUCAACAUGGCUCACAAAGCUGUUGGCCUGAAUAGCUUUUCUUUUGAUAGCCACUUAAUAAACGUAGGCGAGGAAGGAUGUUCGGCAUGGAAUGUGAAUUGGUUCUCAUGGGCCUCAUGUGUAAUAGGCGUUUUGGGAGAGAAGACAUUUAUGUCUUCAGACUAUUUUUGGACUAAUUAUGAAAUUAAGGCUCAUAAAUUUAAAAAGUUCACAUCAUGAGUUAAGCCACAGAGAGAUGAUGGGAAGUAUCUAAGAGUUAGGUAAAGGGCUUCACACUAUUUCUAGUCUGUCUGUGAAAGCUUUCUGGAUAUGUUGGUGUUUGAGCUGUAAGUAUUUCAUGUUUUGUUGUAAACAUCCUGUGAUAGAUUAACAUUAGGCCACCCCACCAUUUAUAACAAAACUACCAUUAGUGUGCAAAGAAUUAACAUUGUUGUGUCAGGAAAAGGAAAACCAAA
rnacentral:sRNA from 1 species